ensembl:lncRNA
CUCAGUGAGACCCUAAAUUCAGUUUCACCACUCUUGCUUUGAGACACAUUCACGGGUGGGCAAGCACUGGGGUGCUGCAUGAAUGUGAAGCACCUGCUUCACCCAGUCCUCUGGGCAGCCCCAGGUGGGCAACCAUGCCAGCAGGGAGGGCUCCCGCAGUGCUUUCCCUGUCACCUUCCCUGGGCUCCUUUUAUAGCUUUGAGGAAUCAUCAAAUUAGGUGCAGACUUGUCCGACAGAUUUAGGAAGCAGACCCUGAGAGUGUCGCUUGUGCUUAGUGGGUUUUCUGGCACGGAGCAGAACAAGGAAAGGCUUCUGGAUCCUGCCCAGGUCUCUGCUGGAGCUUCACAAGCCACAUGGUGCUGCAAAGGAAGCAGAGGCUGCAGACCCUUCCACCGGCACUCACCCGUCAGCAUGAGGUUGUGGCAGCACAUCUAUAUUAAACAGAAAUUGGAACAAAUCCCUUAAAUAGCUCUUCUUCUUUGUACGGCCAUUGUGCCUGUGUGCCUUUGGGUUCCCAGCUGCUUAGGUGGAGGGAGAAUACCAGUGAGUUUUGCAAAGAGAUAUGUUGUUGUAACUGAAAUGCUCACUUCUAGUUUUGGGCAGCAUUUAAAGGCAAGGGAAGCAGACUGAGCAGGUGUGUUAUCUGAGAUGGGGAGUCUCUCUGCAGACAACGAGCCAUCCUAGCUCCAUAGGGAUCAUUAGCCGUUUCCUGACAAGCAGAUUUUCCAGUACCUCCCAGCAUCUCACUCCAGCUCUCAUCAGCGCUGCAGCUUUGUCAGGGGCUCUUUUCUAUGGCAGUACGGCGGUAUUUCCCUCUUCUCUUCACCAAAGAAUGGAAAAAUUACUCAGUACGAUAAAACAGGUUUUUACCCACUUUGACUUUUGUAGACUUGUGCAUUACAGUCUGGCUUAGAACAUGAACGUUAUAACCCCCUGGUGAAAUUCUCACUCGCAAAAGGGAUGCAGUCCUGGGAUAGUUGCUCGCCGCAGUUGUCACUGCCUGGCAAAGAGCAAUGCGCGCAGUGCUGCUGCGCUUGGAUGCACUUGCAGAGACAAAGACCGGGUGUCAGCCUCUGCCUGGGAAGUCAGAGACUUGGUGGCUCUUGUGCCGGAGAGAUGAGUUUAAAUAAAAACAGCAUUUCCAACGCAGGCUCUUCAUAAAGAGAUCAGCGUCGUGGCAGCUGAUGACACCACUGCACGCGGGGUUAGCAGUGACACGCUGACACCUUACGAAGAUUUUUCCUCAUUUCCUUAAUUACUGCUAACAUAAGCAGCCAAAUCUGCACCCGUUGUAAUUGUAUUUACGCCAUUAGCUGCUAGUAUUGCCUGGAAAUGUUUGUGGAUGGAAACAGACACUGAGUGUGCGGGCAGGCUGUUUGCUAAAGGCAUUAAUGUACUAAUUAAUGAAGUGCCAAUGCACCUAUUUAGCACUACUUCGCUAACACUGUGUUUAAGCCUGGGCUUCAGAUGUUUGAUGUCGAGGAUGCUGCUAACACCAUGCUGGACUGCCACAUAAAGCUGCAGCGAGCCACUCUGCAUUGCUUUCUUGGUGCAAUGGCUUCGCAUGAGCUGCUGCCCUUGGGAGACUGAGAGGCACCUCCAUAGCACCGGGAUGUAAGGAGCAUCUCAUCUUCAAAAAUUUGGAUCCACAUCAUUUUCAUCUGCGCUUUACAAAUUAGUUAGAACAGGUAUUGCGCUGCACAACUGAGUUUAAAUGUCUCUUCCCAUCCUUUUUAGGUCAUUUCAGUCAAAAUUAGCACGGUUUUAUACUGAACUUUUUGAAGAGUAAAAUUGAAAGAGGAAAUAUCUCCGUUUUCCUGAAGGAGUUUCAGUGUCCACCCAUCUGCUGUGGAUUCUACAGGGAACCCUGCCUUCAUUCCCUUUGGAAAGGGUUUGACAUGAAGGGAGCUCUGCACUUACAGUGCACUGAUUUCCAGGUGAGGAGUACACAGUUUAUAAUAGACAUGCUCAUUUUCCUCUUCAAGGCA